rnacentral:RNase_P_RNA from 1 species
GAGGAAAGUCCGGGCUCCACAGGGCACGGUGCCAGGUAACGCCUGGGCGGCGCGAGCCGACGGAAAGUGCAACAGAAAGAUACCGCCCAAGACUGCGCAAGCAGGACGGCAAGGGUGAAAUGGUGCGGUAAGAGCGCACCGCGAGUCGGGUAACCGACCGGCACGGCAAACCCCACCGGGAGCAAGGCCAAAUAGGGACCUCAUGACGCGGCCCGCGUCGGGUCCGGGUAGGCCGCUCGAGCGUAUCGGCGACGAUGCGCCUAGAGGAAUGGCUGUCCACGACAGAACCCGGCUUAUCGGCCGGCUCCGCCA